AGCACGGGGGCAACCCUGGUGGCGAGCGGCGAACGGGUGAGUAACACAUCGGAACAUGCCCAGUCGUGGGGGAUAACACUUCGAAAGAAGUGCUAAUACCGCAUACGUCCUGGGGGAGAAAGCGGGGGAUCGCAAGACCUCGCGCGAUUGGAGUGGCCGAUGUCAGAUUAGCUAGUUGGUGGGGUAAAGGCCUACCAAGGCAACGAUCUGUAGCUGGUCUGAGAGGAUGAUCAGCCACACUGGGACUGAGACACGGCCCAGACUCCUACGGGAGGCAGCAGUGGGGAAUUUUGGACAAUGGGGGCAACCCUGAUCCAGCCAUUCCGCGUGAGUGAAGAAGGCCUUCGGGUUGUAAAGCUCUUUCGGCAGGAACGAAACG
rnacentral:rRNA from 1 species